rnacentral:tRNA from 1 species
GGUCUCAUGGUGUAAUGGUUAGCACUCUGCACUCUGCAUCCAGCGAUCUGAGUUCAAAUCUCAGUGAGACCU